rnacentral:misc_RNA from 1 species
GAUGAAGAACGUAGCGAAAUGCGAUAAGUAGUGUGAAUUGCAGAAUUCAGUGAAUCAUCGAAUUUUUGAACGCACAUUGCGGCCAUAGGUAUUCCUUUGGCCAUGCCUGUUCGAGCGUCAUUUACACCCUCAAGCCUAGCUUGGUGUUGGGCGUCUGUCCCGCCGUUCUCGCGCGCGGACUCGCCUCAAAGUCAUUGGCGGCGGUCGUGCCGGCCCCCUCGCGCAGCACAUUUGCGCUUCUCGGAGGCCCGGCGGAUCCGCGCUCCAGCAAGACCUUUCACGACUUGACCUCGGAUCAGGUAGGGAUACCCGCUGAACUUAAGCAUAUCAAUAAGCGGAGGA